rnacentral:rRNA from 1 species
UCCGUAGGCGGGCAAUUAAGUCAGAGGUGAAAUCCCACAGCUCAACUGUGGAACUGCCUUUGAUACUGGUUGUCUUGAGUUACAGUGAAGUAGAUAGAAUAUGUAGUGUAGCGGUGAAAUGCAUAGAUAUUACGUAGAAUACCGAUUGCGAAGGCAGUCUACUAACUGUAUACUGACGCUAAUGGACGAAAGCGUGGGGAGCGAACAGGAUUAGAUACCCUGGUAGUCC